AGUUUGAUCAUGGCUCAGAUUGAACGCUGGCGGCAUGCUUUACACAUGCAAGUCGAGCGGCAGCGCGGGGGCAACCCUGGCGGCGAGCGGCGAACGGGUGAGUAACGCAUCGGAACGUAUCCUGUAGUGGGGAAUAACUCAUCGAAAGGUGAGCUAAUACCGCAUAAGCUCUGAGGAGGAAAGCGGGGGGACCGAAAGGCCUCGCGCUGCAGGAGCGGCCGAUGUCCGAUUAGCUAGUUGGUGAGGUAAAGGCUCACCAAGGCGACGAUCGGUAGCUGGUCUGAGAGGAUGAUCAGCCACACUGGGACUGAGACACGGCCCAGACUCCUACGGGAGGCAGCAGUGGGGAAUUUUGGACAAUGGGGGAAACCCUGAUCCAGCCAUGCCGCGUGAGUGAAGAAGGCCUUCGGGUUGUAAAGCUCUUUCGGACGGAACGAAAUUGCUUGGACUAAUACUCUGAGUAGAUGACGGUACCGUAAGAAGAAGCACCGGCUAACUACGUG
rnacentral:rRNA from 1 species